AUUGAACGCUGGCGGCAUGCCUUACACAUGCAAGUCGAACGGCAGCACGGGUGCUUGCCCCUGGUGGCGAGUGGCGAACGGGUGAGUAAUACAUCGGAACAUGUCCUGUAGUGGGGGAUAGCCCGGCGAAAGCCGGAUUGAUACCGCAUACGAUCUACGGAUGAAAGCGGGGGACCUUCGGGCCUCGCGCUAUAGGGUUGGCCGAUGGCUGAUUAGCUAGUUGGUGGGGUAAAGGCCUACCAAGGCGACGAUCAGUAGCUGGUCUGAGAGGACGACCAGCCACACUGGGACUGAGACACGGCCCAGACUCCUACGGGAGGCAGCAGUGGGGAAUUUUGGACAAUGGGCGAAAGCCUGAUCCAGCAAUGCCGCGUGUGUGAAGAAGGCCUUCGGGUUGUAAAGCACUUUUGUCCGGAAAGAAAUCCUUGGCCCUAAUACGGUCGGGGGAUGACGGUACCGGAAGAAUAAGCACCGGCUAACUACGUG
rnacentral:rRNA from 1 species